GACGAACGCUGGCGGCGUGCUUAACACAUGCAAGUCGAACGGAAAGGCCCUGCUUUUGUGGCGCUCUCGAGUGGCGAACGCGUGAGUAACACGUGAGUAACCUCUCCUUGUCUUUGGGAUAACUCCAGGAAACUGGGGCUAAUAUCCCAGAUGAGCUCCUGCUGCAUGGUGGGGGAUGGAAAGUUCCGGCGGUUGUGGAUGGACUGGCGGCUUAUCAGCCUGUUGGUGAGGUAGUGGCUUACCAAGGCUUUGACGGGUAGCCGGCCUGGGAGGGGGGCCGGCGACAAUGCGCCUACGAGACGGACCAGAAUGGAACGGGAGGCAGCAGUGGAGAGUAUUGCGCAGUGGGCGGGCGCCUGUUACGACAGCGCCGCGUGCGGAAUACCGGCUUUCGGGUUGUGAACAACUUUCGCAUGAACCAAGGCGUGAGUGACGGUAAUGGGUAAAGAAGCAACGGCUAACUACGUG
rnacentral:rRNA from 1 species